rnacentral:rRNA from 1 species
UUAGAAUAGAAUUUAAGGUCUAACCUGCCCACUGAUUUAUUWAAUGGCCGCAGUAAUUUGACUGUGCAAAGGUAGCAUAAUAAUUAGUUUUUUAAWUAAAAGCUUGUAUGAAUGGUUGGACGAGAUAAAUACUGUCUCUGAAUAAUAAAUAGAAUUUAAUUUUUAAGUUAAAAAGCUUWAAUGAUAAUAAAAGACGAGAAGACCCUAUAGAUCUUUAUAAUAUUUUUUAUAUAUUUAAUUAAGAUUAUUUUAUUGUUUAUAAUAUAUAUUAWUGUAUUGGGGUAAUAGAAAGAUUGAAUUAAUUCUUUAUUAUUUAUAUAUAAAUUAAUAGAUUUAUGAUCCUUUAUUAAAGAUUGUAAGAUUAAGUUACCUUAGGGAUAACAGCGUAAUUUUUUUGAAGAGUUCAUAUCGAUAAAAAAGUUUGCGACCUCKAUGUUGGAUUAAAAAUUAUUCUAGGUGUAGUAGUUUAGAAUUUUGGUCUGUUCGACCAUUAAAUUUUUACAUGAUCUGAGUUCAGACCGGUGUAAGCCAGGUCGGUUUCUAUCUUUAUUWAAUUAAUAUAUUUUAGUACGAAAGGACCAAAUAUAGAAUAUAUUUAUAUUUUUUAUUUUUGAAUUUUAU